UGAAAAAAAAUACAACCCAAGCUAACCUAAAAAUUGGAAGUAAAAUUUAAAAUAUGGCAUGUAGCAAAUGGUUUUCAGUGCCCAAAUUACUGAAAAAGUAAUCAACAAACGAAACGUCUCGUCUCAAUAAAAUAUUAAUCCUACCGCACUGUAGUAUUAUGUAUAUUUCCAUUAUUGCCUGUUAUUUGAUAUCUCUAGCCAUGCCGUUUAUAGGGUUCACACCCCUUUGGUGGUAACAGUGGGGGCUGAUGGUGCGGACUCCGCCCUAAUACGGGGCUCCCCGUGGACAAGUAAAGCCUACGAUUAGCUACAAUUGGCUUAAAGAGACCCCCCUAGGACACUUUAGUCUACUAGUAUUAAUCCUGAUAUUAUCUCAAGCUAAGUCACUUUGGAGGUAUAACAGCAAACAGUAUGGGGUUGACAGUCCCCAAAGAGCCACAGACAACAGUAAUUUAUGUAAGAAA